GACGAACGCUGGCGGCGUGCUUAACACAUGCAAGUCGAACGGAAAGGCCCUGCUUUUGUGGGGUGCUCGAGUGGCGAACGGGUGAGUAACACGUGAGUAACCUGCCCUUGACUUUGGGAUAACUUCAGGAAACUGGGGCUAAUACCGGAUAGGAUCUCCUGCUGCAUGGUGUGGGUUGGAAAGUUUCGGCGGUGUGGGCUGGACUCGCGGCUUAUCAGCUUGUUAGUGGGGUAGUGGCUUACCAAGGCUUUGACGGGUAGCCGGCCUGAGAGGGUGACCGGCGACAUGGGGACUGAGAUACGGAGCAGUCUGCAAUGGGAGGCAGCGGUGGGGAGUAUUGCACAAUGGGGGGAAGCCUGAUGCAGCAACGUCGCGUGCGGGAUGACGGCCUUCGGGGUGUAAACCGCUGUCGCCUGUGACGAGGCGUGAGUGACGGUAAUGGGUAAAGAAGCACCGGCUAACUACGUG
rnacentral:rRNA from 1 species